rnacentral:tRNA from 2 species
GCGAGAGUGGCGGAAUUGGUAGACGCACUAGCUUCAGGUGUUAGUGUUCUUACGGACGUGGGGGUUCAAGUCCCCCCUUUCGCACCA